rnacentral:rRNA from 1 species
CCUACGGGAGGCUGCAGUGGGGAAUAUUGGACAAUGGGCGAAAGCCUGAUCCAGCCAUGCCGCGUGUGUGAAGAAGGCCUUCGGGUUGUAAAGCACUUUCAGUGGGGAAGAAAGCCUUGGGGCUAAUACCCUCGAGGAAGGACAUCACCCACAGAAGAAGCACCGGCUAACUCCGUGCCAGCAGCCGCGGUAAUACGGAGGGUGCGAGCGUUAAUCGGAAUUACUGGGCGUAAAGCGCGCGUAGGCGGUCUGAUAAGCCGGUUGUGAAAGCCCCGGGCUCAACCUGGGAACGGCAUCCGGAACUGUCAGGCUAGAGUGCAGGAGAGGAAGGUAGAAGUCCCGGUGUAGCGCUGAAAUGCGUAGAGAUCGGGAGGAAUACCAGUGGCGAAGGCGGCCUUCUGGACUGACACUGACGCUGAGGUGCGAAAGCGUGGGUAGCAAACAGGAUUAGAUACCCCGGUAGUC